UCCUCUGUCAAUAUAUCUUUUCUCAGGUCAAUAAAUCCAGGUAUCGACCAAAGCCUAAGGCUAUAAUUGAAUAUUACUUUUUUACUAGGAGUGAACAAACUAAUACCUUUUUGUAAAUGUGUGUAUCGCUGAAAAAUUAUGUUUAAUAUAAGAUAAUUUUAAACAUUUUACAGAAUGGUGUUGUUACUAGUAUGUAUAAACUUUAGGAUAUAUUAUUACCGAUAUAUUAUCAAUCUUAAACAUACAUGUAACAGAAGUAUAUAUUACCACUAUUAGUCUACUUUAUGGGUCCGCCAGAAGAAGACCAAGACGACAGAAAGCAUAGCGAUUUGAACUCGUAAAUGUGCAACAUCGAAUAUUUUUCAGUUAUUCUAUUUGUUAGAAAAUUGCGUAUUUUUGUUUCUUUUCGUAAUAAAAAUUACUGGUUUCUGUUUUCACUAUUUUUAUUGUGAGGAAAGUAUAAAUGAAUAUCCUGAUACAGAAAUGGAUUUUUUGUACAUCUGAGUACAUGUAGAUCUACAUACCAAAUCUGGUUACUCCUGGAGAAAUAGUAAAGAAAACCAACCAUGUCUGAGGUAAGGAGUCAAAUCAUACAAUCGAAAUAAGCUACUUUUCGUAACCUGCAUACGAAAUCUGGUUAAUCCUGAUCAAUAAGGUCAAUGGUCAAACCAUAGGUCACACUGAUCUACUUCUUGUACAAUGCACAGCGCAAUCUACAGAUGUACCUGCAUACUAAUUAUGGAUAUACAAGGUGAAAUAGUACGGAGAUAUGCCUCAGACAAAUGUUUUCAACGACUGAGGUCAAAGGUCAAAGCAAUGGUCACAGUAACCUAAUUCUUGACCUAAGCACUCUGCCAUCCCGAGAACUUCUUACAUACAAAAUCUGAUUACUCCAGGUGAUUAGUAUAGAAAAUAUGCCCGGGACAAUUUUGGAAAUGACUUCUUGUACUUUGUACUUUACCAUUCCAAGAUGUACUUGCAUAUACCUAAUCUGAUUACACCAGGUACAAUAGCAUAGGAGAUAUGCCCUGGGCAAGUUGUUCAGGCUUAUGGAUGGACGCCAGGACAGAUGGAGUAUAAUUACAAUCAAGGGAUAAACUUAACACAUAUAUAUCACAAUCUCUGCUUUACUUUUAUUUUGUAAGCAUGGAGUCACACACAGAUUAUUAAAGCUGUGGUUUCACCAAUAUAUAAACAAUUGAUGCACAUCUUCUACAUAAAUAUAUUUAAAGAAAUAUUACCAAGAACAAAGUAAAUAUGUUUAAAUGUAUAUGUAAUAUUUAUUCCUAUAUAUUCCUAUAUGAAAUCAUCUAUACAGAUCACAAACUAAUCAUAUCAUAUCAAUCUUCUUUACAAUCAUACAGUGUUUGUAUAUAAAUGUAUAUUGAACCUUCUUAAGGUGUUCAAAGCUAUUCCAUCUACACGUAUAACAAAUUACAACAUCUUUUAUUUAAUAAAAUCUGAGAAUCUUGAAGUUCACAUCUUCCUGUGAUUUUCAUAUUUAUCAACUGAUGAUCACUUUGAAUCUUUACAAGCUGGAUAAACGCAAGAACUGCAUUAACAAAAUAAUUAGAUUCUGGUAAUGAUCUGCUGUCAACAGGUUACCCAUACUUUGAAGCACUGGGUGAUCAGACGUGCACAAUAACAGCUCUUAUUAGAGUAAACAAACAAGAAAAAACAUACUUGUUUCUUGUCACCUGGACACUUCUUUUUGCAAAAAAACGUAUACAGUAUAUAUAAUUUGUUUCACAUAGAUUCAAAUUUGAUAUUAUUAUUUAACCCUUUCACCACUGUAGACUAUAAUUGAUUCAUCCAGAUAAAUGAAUGGUGGAGUCUACUUAAGUUAUCUAGGGGUGAAAGGGUUUUAAAAAUAAAAAUAAAAUAAAAAAAAAGAUUAUCAGCAUCCGAAUAUAUGAACAAACACAUACAUAUCUUAAAACACCGUUCUAUCAUAUAUCAGGUACUUAUGCGAGAAAAAUUUGGACAAUAAUUUAUUGUAUACAUAAUAGGAGUAAUAUAAAAUCAGAAAACACACUUUAUUGAGAUUCCUGUGUAAGAUAUUCAUAUAUAUAUAUAAUAGAAUUAUAAAACCUUUACUAUUUGACAACCAACCCUUUCAGAGUAAA